rnacentral:misc_RNA from 1 species
CCGAGUUUACAACUCCCAAACCCCUGUGAACAUACCACUUGUUGCCUCGGCGGAUCAGCCCGCUCCCGGUAAAACGGGACGGCCCGCCAGAAGACCCCUAAACUCUGUUUCUAUAUGUAACUUCUGAGUAAAACCAUAAAUAAAUCA